rnacentral:rRNA from 1 species
CAAGUCGAACGGCAGCACGGGAGCUUGCUCCUGGUGGCGAGUGGCGAACGGGUGAGUAAUAUAUCGGAACGUAUCCAAUAAUGGGGGAUAACUAGUCGAAAGAUUAGCUAAUACCGCAUACGCCCUGAGGGGGAAAGCUGGGGAUCUUCGGACCUAGCGUUAAUGGAGCGGCCGAUAUCUGAUUAGCUAGUAGGUGAGGUAAGAGCUCACCUAGGCGACGAUCAGUAGCUGGUCUGAGAGGACGACCAGCCACACUGGAACUGAGACACGGUCCAGACUCCUACGGGAGGCAGCAGUGGGGAAUUUUGGACAAUGGGCGCAAGCCUGAUCCAGCCAUUCCGCGUGAGUGAAGAAGGCCUUCGGGUUGUAAAGCUCUUUCGCAAGGGAAGAAAACUUAACCUCUAACAUAGGUUGAGGCUGACGGUACCUUGAUAAGAAGCACCGGCUAACUACGUGCCAGCAGCCGCGGUAAUACGUAGGGUGCGAGCGUUAAUCGGAAUUACUGGGCGUAAAGCGUGCGCAGGCGGCCUGAUAGGUCAGAUGUGAAAUCCCCGAGCUCAACUUGGGAACUGCGUUUGAAACUAUCAAGCUAGAAUAUGUCAGAGGGGGGUAGAAUUCCACGUGUAGCAGUGAAAUGCGUAGAGAUGUGGAGGAAUACCAAUGGCGAAGGCAGCCCCCUGGGAUAAUAUUGACGCUCAUGCACAAAAGCGUGGGGAGCAAACAGGAUUAGAUACCCUGAUAGUCCACGCCCUAAACGAUGUCUACUAGUUGUUGGUGGAGUAAAAUCCAUGAGUAACGCAGCUAACGCGUGAAGUAGACCGCCUGGGGAGUAC